UGAUGAAAUGGUGAUGGAAUGGUGAAGGAAUGGUGAUGGAAUGGUGAUGGAAUGGUAAUGGAAUGGUGAUGGAAUGGUAAUGGAAUGGUGAUGGAAUGGUGGUGGAAUGGUGAUGGAAUGGUGAUGGAAUGGUGAUGGAAUGGCAAUGGAAUGGUGAUGGAAUGGUAGUGGAAUGGUAAUGGAAUGGUGAUGGAAUGGUAAACAGAAUGGUAGUGGAAUGGUAAACAGAAUGGUAAACAGAAUGGUAGUGGAAUGGUAAACAGAAUGGUAGUGGGAUGGUAAACAGAAUGGUAGUGGAAUGGUAGUGGAAUGGUAAACAUAAUGAUUGUGGAAUGGUGAUGGAAUGGUAAACAUAAUGGUUGUGGAAUGGUGAUGGAAUGGUAAACAUAAUGGUAGUGUAAUGGUGAAGGAAUGGUAGUGGAAUGGUAGUGGAAUGGUGGUGGAAUGGUAAACAGAAUGGUAGUGGAAUGGUAGUGGAAUGGUAAACAGAAUGGUAGUGGAAUGGUAGUGGAAUGGUGGUGGAAUGGUGAUGGAAUGGUGAUGGAAUGGUGAAGGAAUGGUAGUGGAAUGGUAGUGGAAUGGUAAACAGAAUGGUAGUGGAAUGGUAAACAGAAUGGUAGUGGAAUGGUUGUGGAAUGGUAAACAGAAUGGUAGUGGAAUGGUAAACAGAAUGAUAGUGGAAUGGUAGUGAAAUGGUAAACAGAAUGGUAGUGGAAUGGUAAACAGAAUGAUCGUGGAAUGGUAAACAGAAUGAUAGUGGAAUGGUAGUGGAAUGGUAAACAGAAUGGUGAUGGAAUGGUAAUAGUAGGUCACAUACAUGUAACUGCUAGAGACUGACAGUAUUGUAGAGAUGUUCCUCUCUGUAACUGCUAGAUGGAGACUGACAGUAUUGUAGAGACAGAGAUGCUCCUCUCUGUAACUGCUAGAUGGAGACUGACAGUAUUGUAGAGACAGAGAUGCUCCUCUCUGUAACUGCUAGAUGGAGACUGACAGUAUUGUAGAGACAGAGAUGCUCCUCUCUGUAACUGCUAGAUGGAGACUGGCAGUAUUGUAGAGACAGAGAUGCUCCUCUCUGUAACUGCUAGAUGGAGACUGGCAGUAUUGUAGAGACAGAGAUGCUCCUCUCUGUAACUGCUAGAUGGAGACUGGCAGUAUUGUAGAGACAGAGAUGUUCCUCUCUGUAACUGCUAGAUGGAAUGGUAAUGGAACACACACAGGUCAGGGAGGGUUUGAGAGGCAGGUUUAUGGUUCCUCCUAGACUCUCAGGAGUUAACACACACAGGUCAGGGAGGGUUUGAGAGGCAGGUGUAUGGUUCCCCCUAGACUCUCAGGAGUUAACACACACACGGAGGGUUUGAGAGGCAGGUGUAUGGUUCCCCUAGACUCUCAGGAGUUAACACACACACAGAGGGUUUGAGAGGCAGGUGUAUGGUCCCCUAGACUCUCAGGAGUUAACACACACAGGCCAGGGAUGGUUUGAGAGGCAGGUGUAUGGUUCCUCCUAGACUCUCAGGAGUUAACACACACAGGUCAGGGAGGGUUUGAGAGGCAGGUCUAUGGUUCCUCCUAGACUCUCAGGAGUUUACACACACACACGGAGGGUUUGAGAGGCAGGUGUAUGGUUCCCCUAGACUCUCAGGAGUUAACACACACAGGGAGGGUUUGAGAGGCAGGUUUAUGGUUCCCCCUAGACUCUCAGGAGUUAACACACACAGGGAGGGUUUGAGAGGCAGGUUUAUGGUUCCCCCUAGACUCUCAGGAGUUAACACACACAGGUCAGGGAGGGUUUGAGAGGCAGGUUUAUGGUUCCCCCUAGACUCUCAGGAGUUAACACACACAGGUCAG
ensembl:lncRNA